CCUGCGUUUCACACACAAAGCUUCCCUUCAUUCCAAGAAGACCGCGAACGGUUGCGCUUUGAGCAUUUAAAAACCCAACUGGUACAAUCAGCUACUUGAAAAGCACAGAUGGAGCGACACGUCCCUCUCCCCUCACAGGUCAUCAUCACCAAAACCCUGCUAUGAAAUCUUGCAACUUAUAGUUGUGCAACUUCAAGCAGACCCCAAGUAUUAAUGGAAGAGACACUAGGAAAGUUGGAAAAAGGUUGCUCCUAACUUGGGGACCAGGACUCCAGAAGCCGGGCAUUGCCCGAUACGAUGGCCGGCGUGCGAUGUUCCCACUGCCUCAAGCACGAAAUAUUUGUUAUUUCAGAAUUUCCACCCAUCCUCUAUCAGUCGAGAUGAGACAAUCCCUUCAGCUGGGAGCAAAGACAUAGG